rnacentral:lncRNA from 1 species
CACAGAAGAGAAGGGAAAAGACAAAACCAAAGAACACAGUUUUCCAUUAUCAGAACAAGGCAAAGUGGGAUCAGCUGCUUUUUGAAGAUAAUUUGUUGUUGUGAGAGACCUCACAUAGUCCCCAAGGCUGCAUUUCCCAUUCCAGUCUCACCGUGGAGUAUUGGUUGCAGCAGGACUGUUAAUCACUGCUAAUUGUGAGCGCUGGGGCAGGAACAACUGUCCCCAGUGAAGCCAGCUGAACCAGUCUUCAGUGCCAGAAAUGCAGUAUCAGCAAUGACAGCAAGGCCCCAGGCACUAGCAGAAGCUAUCUGCUGCACAAAGCCAGAACAGCCGGCUGGAGCUGGAGAGACACUCAAGUGUGGCACACACAGCAAUCCUCCUUCCAGCCCAGUUCAGUCCUGCUCCCUUCUACCCAGCUGGGCUCGUGGAUCCCUGCAAAGGGAAAAACUCAGGCUGGACUUGCACAGCAAGAGAAGAAAG